GACGAACGCUGGCGGCGUGCCUAAUACAUGCAAGUUGAGCGCUGAAGGUUGGUACUUGUACCAACUGGAUGAGCAGCGAACGGGUGAGUAACGCGUGGGGAAUCUUCCUUUGAGCGGGGGACAACAUCUGGAAACGAAUGCUAAUACCGCAUAAAAACUUUAAACACAAGUUUUAAGUUUUAAAGAUGCAAUUGCAUCACUCAAAGAUGAUCCCGCGUUGUAUUAGCUAGUUGGUGGGGUAAAGGCUCACCAAGGCGAUGAUACAUAGCCGACCUGAGAGGGUGAUCGGCCACAUUGGGACUGAGACACGGCCCAAACUCCUACGGGAAGCAGCAGUAGGGAAUUUUCGGCAAUGGACGAAAGUCUGACCGAGCAACGCCGCGUGAGUGAAGAAGGUUUUCGGAUCGUAAAACUCUGUUGGUAGAGAAGAACGUUGGUGAGAGUGGAAAGCUCAUCAAGUGACGGUAACUACCCAGAAAGGGACGGCUAACUACGUG
rnacentral:rRNA from 1 species